GCACCGCUAGCUCAACUGGCAGAGCAUCUGACUCUUAAUCAGAGGGUUCUGACGCCUCCUAGCGUUCGCCUAGGCGGAUCA
rnacentral:tRNA from 1 species